rnacentral:rRNA from 1 species
GAUCAAUAGGACUGGGGACGAGUUUGGACGUGUGCCGGGCCCUCCUGGGAGCUCAGCUGCGGCGG